rnacentral:lncRNA from 1 species
UAGGGAUGGAACUUCAAAUUCUAUGGAAAAAAUGGCUUCUAUUCCAUACAUCAAAGAAAAAGGUGUAUUUCUUGUAUUAACUUUGUAAGUAACUUAAUAAGCCUAAAGAAUUAAAUAAUAUUAACUUUUAAGUAAUUGAUAAAAGCAAAGGAAAAGUAUUCAUAUUCUUAAUUGGAGUAGAGAGCUUAAAGUUCACAUUCUAUUUAAUUUUUAAUCCAAAGAUUAAAUAAAAAUAGAAAUAUUUACUUUUUUUGUAAAGUAGAUGAACUACUAUAUACGAAGAAAAAUUUUCAGUAAAGAUAAUAUAGUAUUCAAAUUUCAAAAAGGUUGGUGUUACAAUACAACCACUUAAAUUAAAAUAUACUAUUUUAAGAGGUUAUGUAGCACAAAUUAUGGCAAAUUUUAGAAAUUUUGUUAUAAUUUAUUUACCAUAUAU